ensembl:lncRNA
GAAUUUGGCAUCAUGACAGAAGGAGCCAGUGAGUGACCUUACAUAGAGCUCUAGCGCUGAUCCUCUGAGCACCGUUUCAUAAGAGAUUUUUUAAUUAUUAUUUUUUUUAUGACAUACAUUUUAUCAUAGAUCAAUUAGAUGUAAUUUAACAGAAUGAUUUGGUAAGAGUAAAACAUGAGUGAUCUGUCUUGUUUAUAAUGUCAGCAGCAAUGCAGGUUUCAGUGGACAGAUGGAAGGCAGCCAUCAUCUGCACUGUUGUGGAAAUGUGUCGUACAAGAUCUCAGAAAGUUCCUGCUGUAAUGGUAAUGUAACUAACGGAUUAAGCCAGCUGGUGGCUGACUGCUGUGAUUCUGUAGCUUACAAUCCCCUUAAUGAGAUUUGCUGUGAUGGCAGGAUUCUGACUAGAAGCAGCACUCACGCAAAAUGCUGUGGCAAAGUCAUGUACCUGACAACGACUCAUUUGUGUUGUGGUGGCAACAACAUAUUUCAAUGGAAGGAAAAUCAUUUUUGUUGUGGCAAGGAAACGUAUGACAUGACAACCCACUGCUGCUGUACUAACCUUACACUAGAAGUAAAGCCAAAAAAUGAAACUUGCUGUCCAAAAGUAACAGGCACUGAUAAAAGAACAGGAUGCCAGCAAGGCUCUCUUCCCACCCGACUGAAAAUCUCAAGCACACUCUCCAAAAACUUAGAAUCAAAGUGUGGAUCAAAACCCUACAAUCCCAAGAACAAAAUUUGUUGCUCAGGGAAUCUGUAUAAGAAGGCUUCAGCACUUACUAAGUGCUGUGGCAAAGAUGUUUACACUCUGUCAGAUGACAAUGUGCUAUGCUGUAAUGGAAUCCUUCAUCUCAAUGUGCCUGAGCAGUCAGAGUGUGUUGGAGGUGUUAUAUAUGCUCCCCCAAACACUAUUUGCCAAAUGUCUGCUCGUCCCCGUCUUGGUGAGCACUGCUGUGGAGGACAAACCUUCAAUCCUCGCACACAUAUUUGCUGUAACGGACACAGUCACAACAAGAUGAAUGGCAAUUACUGUUGUGGUUCAGAAGUCUAUGACCACCACAACCAGUUGUUGAGAUGCUGCUCAGGUCAUCUCUACAACCUAACACGUUUAAGUGGGGAAGCAGAGUGCUGUGGAAACCAUCUGCUGGAAUAUAAUAACAAUCAGAUUUGUUGUUCAUCCUCAACCAAUGCUAUAAUUUAUGACACCAAACCAAACCACCGUUGCUGUGGGCAUUACUACUACAACACAUCCCUGUGGAGCUGCUGUGCUGAACAUCUCAAACCAACACCAAAGCCUGACAGCUCUCCUGCAGAAUACAGGCUUAAACCACUAAUGGACCUGAUCCCUGAAAUGUGCAAUAAAACAGGUGAUGUUCUUGAACAUUUAUUGUGGUGCAACCUAAAAUGCUCAAUAACAUUUUUUGGAACUAGACAUAAUGAUCUUGUCUUUUUUUGUGUGUGUUUCUAGUGUUCUUUGGCAAAGUGGAGAGUGUGGCACUUGAAAAUUAUCAGCGUCACAUUGUUUUGCAAGUUGUUGGACAGGUUGAUGUAAUAUCGGAAAAGAUCAUCAAAGACCCUUGGCUUCAUGUGUCCCUGGAUCACUGCAGCUCUCCUGCCACAGAGAACGGCAUGACCUACCUUUGGGAGGAAAACCAUGAUAGGAAGUACAAGCUUCUCUCUCACCAUGUUGACCUAACCUCUGACAUGCACAUGUUCUAUGCUGUAUGUUACCAAAAGAAGAGAUAGAAAUAUGGAUUGAGGUCUAUUUCCAAUCAUUUCAAACCAAAUUCAAAGCAUGCUGGUUGUUAUGAGAUUUUUGUCCGGAAAGAAUUUUUAUCCACCAUUAAUGCUAAAUGACCCUGUGUGUGAAGGGCCACUAUAUUUGAAAGCUAAGAACCUAUACUCCCUUAAGACAGGCUUCUAAAGUCUCUGUUACUGUAGCAUUACACAGCUUUAUUGCAGAGGCGCCACAUGUUUUGUCUCAUUGGUUAUUUUUAUUUCAUCCCAAUAAUGGAUUGAGCCUGUUUGGAGUGUGCAAAGGGGAUAGUUCAACCAAAAAAUAGAAUUUGCUGUCAGUGUACUCACCCUCAAGCCAUCCAAGAUGUAGGUGACCGUUUUUUAUUUUUUUCUUUGAGUUGAACAGUAAAUAAGAUUUUUAGCUGAAACUUUGGUCUUUGGUUAUUCAUAAAAUGCGAGUCAACGGCUGCCCGUCGUUGAGAAUAAAAAAAAAGAAGAGCAUAUCA